GACAGUGGUGGAUCAAUGGUUAAAGCUCUGGAUUAUUGAUCAGAAGGUUAGGGGUUCAAGCCCCAGCACUGCCA